UGCMAGUCGAGCGGAACGAGUUAUCUGAACCUUCGGGGRACGAUAACGGCGUCGAGCGGYGGACGGGUGAGUAAUGCCUAGGAAAUUGCCCUGRUGUGGGGGAUAACCAUUGGAAACGAUGGCUAAUACCGCAUAAUACCUWCGGGUCAAAGAGGGGGACCUUCGGGCCUCUCGCGUCAGGAUAUGCCUAGGUGGGAUUAGCUAGUUGGUGAGGUAAUGGCUCACCAAGGCGACGAUCCCUAGCUGGUCUGAGAGGAUGAUCAGCCACACUGGAACUGAGACACGGUCCAGACUCCUACGGGAGGCAGCAGUGGGGAAUAUUGCACAAUGGGCGCAAGCCUGAUGCAGCCAUGCCGCGUGUGUGAAGAAGGCCUUCGGGUUGUAAAGCACUUUCAGUCGUGAGGAAGGUAGUGUAGUUAAUAGCUGCAUUAUUUGACGUUAGCGACAGAAGAAGCACCGGCUAACUCCGUGCCAGCAGCCGCGGUAAUACGGAGGGUGCGAGCGUUAAUCGGAAUUACUGGGCGUAAAGCGCAUGCAGGUGGUUUGUUAAGUCAGA
rnacentral:rRNA from 1 species